rnacentral:rRNA from 1 species
GUGGUCGGUGUACAGGUGGUGCAUGGGUUGUCGUCAGCUCGUGUCGUGAGAUGUUGGGUUAAGUCCCGCAACGAGCGCAACCCUCGUCCUAUGUUGCCAGCGGGUCAUGCCGGGGACUCAUGGGAGACUGCCGGGGUCAACUCGGAGGAAGUGGGAUGACGUCAAAUCAUCCAUCGCCCCUUAUGUCUUGGGCUUCACGCAUGCUACAAUGGCCGGUACAAAGGGCUGCGAUACCGCGAGGUGGAGCGAAUCCCAGAAAGCCGGUCUCAGUUCGGAUUGAAGUCUGCAACUCGACUUCAUGAAGUUGGAAUCGCUAGUAAUCGCGGACCAGCAUGCCGCGGUGAAUACGUUCCCGGGCCUU